AGAGUGAACGCUGGCGGCAGGCCUAAUACAUGCAAGUCGAACGGCAGCACGGCAGAGCUUGCUCUGUGGGUGGCGAGUGGCGGACGGGUGAGGAAUACAUGGGAAUCUGCCCAGUCGUGGGGGAUAACGUAUGGAAACGUACGCUAAUACCGCAUGCGCCCGUUACGGGGGAAAGCCGGGGACCUUCGGGCCUGGCGCGAUUGGAUGAGCCCAUGUCGGAUUAGCUAGGUUGGCGGGUAACGCCACCAAGCGACAUCCGUAGCUGGUCUGAGGAGGAUGAUACACGCCACACUACGGGAACUGGACGACGUAACGGUCCAAGACCUCCCGUAGGGACGGCAGGCAAGUAGGGAAUAGUGGAACAUAGGGCGACAAGGCCUA
rnacentral:rRNA from 1 species